UACAGAGACUGCAAGCGUUAUUCGGAUUCACUGGGCGUAAAGGGUGCGCAGGUGGCCGUGUGUGUCAGAUGUGAAAUCCCGGGGCUUAACUCCGGAACUGCGUCUGAAACUACACGGCUAGAGCAUUGGAGAGGGUAGUGGAAUUCACGGUGUAGCAGUGAAAUGCGCAGAUAUCAGGAGGAACACCGGUGGCGAAGGCGGGACUCUGGGCCGAUACUGACGCUGAGGAGCGAAAGCGUGGGGAGCAAACAGG
rnacentral:rRNA from 1 species